ACUCCUACGGGAGGCAGCAGUCGGGAAUUUUGGGCAAUGGGCGAAAGCCUGACCCAGCAACGCCGCGUGAAGGAUGAAAUCCCUCGGGAUGUAAACUUCGCAAGAACGGGAAGAAUAAGCGAAAGUUAAUACCUUUCGUGAUGACGGUACCGUUUGUAAGCUCCGGCUAACUCCGUGCCAGCAGCCGCGGUAAU
rnacentral:rRNA from 1 species